rnacentral:lncRNA from 1 species
CACGUUUCCAUACCAUGAAGGGAUAGUUAGUAUUGAUUUUGGGGGUUAUGGUCCCAAUAGUUUUGGAAUUAGGGGCCAAAAAGGGGGCCCAAAAUAAGCAUUUUUGUAGUUUUCAAGCAAUAACUAGUGUUUAAGUGUAUGAAUCUCUCUGAAAUUAACCCAAGAGUUUCCAUACCAUGAAGGGAUAGUUAGUAUUGAUUUUGGGGGUUAUGGUCCCAACAGUUUAGGAAUUAAGGGUAAAAAGGGGGCCCAAAAUAAGCAUUUUUGUAGUUUUCAAACAAUAACUUGUGUUUAAGUGUAUGAAUCUCUCUGAAAUUAUACCAAGAGUUUCUAUACCAUGAAGGGA